rnacentral:tRNA from 1 species
AAUUAUUUAGCUAAAUAAAGCAAUUAUCUUGAAAAUAAUUUACAGAGUUUAAGCCUCCUAAAAUUUA